CUGGCGGCGUGCUUAACACAUGCAAGUCGAACGAAGCUUGAUUAAUGAUUUCUUCGGAAUGAAUUAUGAUAUGACUGAGUGGCGGACGGGUGAGUAACGCGUGAGUAACCUGCCUCUUGGAGGGGGAUAGUGUUUGGAAACGAACAGUAAUACCGCAUAACGUGUACGGAUGGCAUCAUCUGUAUACCAAAGAUUUAUCGCCAAGAGAUGGACUCGCGUCUGAUUAGAUAGUUGGUGAGGUAACGGCUCACCAAGUCGACGAUCAGUAGCCGGACUGAGAGGUUGAACGGCCACAUUGGGACUGAGACACGGCCCAGACUCCUACGGGAGGCAGCAGUGGGGAAUAUUGCACAAUGGGCGCAAGCCUGAUGCAGCAACGCCGCGUGGAGGAAGACGGUUUUCGGAUUGUAAACUCCUGUUCUUAGGGAAGAAGCAAGUGACGGUACCUAAGGAGCAAGCCACGGCUAACUACGUGCC
rnacentral:rRNA from 1 species